rnacentral:rRNA from 1 species
UUUACCUACGGGAGGCAGCAGUAGGGAAUCUUUCACAAUGGGCGAAAGCCUGAUGGAGCAACGCCGCGUGCAGGAUGAAGGCCUUCGGGUUGUAAACUGCUUUUAUAAGCGAGAAAUAUGAUGGUAACUUAUGAAUAAGGAUCGGCUAACUACGUGCCAGCAGCCGCGGUCAUACGUAGGAUCCGAGCGUUAUCCGGAUUUACUGGGUGUAAAGGGUGCGUAGGUGGCAGGGCAAGUCAGAUGUGAAAGCCCGGGGCUCAACCCCGGUACUGCAUUUGAAACUGUCCAGCUGGAGUGCAGGAGAG